AUGAUAAGAUGUCAAAACCCUUCUGGGGAGCACUGGAAGCCUCUUGCUAUGAUUCUAUGAUAUAAUUCAAACACCAUAUUUUGCUGACAACUUCCUGAGUGAUAUUGGAAGUACAGAUAUACUGCAUUUCUGGCCAAACAACCAUGACAUACACUGUAGAUUUGGAAUGAACGCUAUUAAGAUAACCCAACCCUCUCUCUAGACAGGCAGGCAGCCAGCCAUGUGUGUCCUCUCUUCUUCUUUAUCACCAAGAAUGACUGGGAGCUAGAGCAGCAAUGUUGAUGGGCAUUGAUCUGUUUCAGAAACAUCUCAAGGACUGAGAAAUGACUUCGGGCAUUCCCUUUUCAAAAGAUGCUAUCUCAUUUCCUUACUAAAGAGAUGAGAAAAAGGGUGGAAAUUGAGAGAUGCAAGCUCAUCUUCCUCAAUGUGUUUUUUCCACGAGGUGCAUGAAAUUAUCAACAUGUUACCAAGAAGAUGAAUUCUGUGUGUGACCCGUCAGCAUCGUCGAUACGUAACAGUGUUAUGGCAGAGCUCCAGCAUAAAGCCACAGCAUGACACCAGGGUUGGAGAGGACCUAAUACCUGCAGUCUUGGGCAGCCAGGGGAUUUGUUGCUCUACACCAAUUUGCUCAAAUAUAGAAAACAUAUAUUUACUGUUUCCUGUAGAUGUAUCAGCAGCUCCUUUCCCAGGGAUGGUUGAAAAGCUUUGGCUCCGUUUUGCUGUCUGCUCUCUAAACUUUCUACCCUUCUUUAACUUGCUGACUAUCCAUUUGGAUGCUGGCUGACUGAUUUCUCAAUGAACCUCCUCUUCAAAUUGGGCUUUCACAAAUUGAACAUACUAUCUGUGGUGGGUAGUAUUGUCCACAGGUAUCCACAAGUGAGGGAGAAGGCAGCAUAUUGAAUAUACUCUCUGUGGUUGGUAGUGAGAGGUGACAGCGUGCUGGCAGUCCUCACAGCCCUCGUGC
rnacentral:lncRNA from 10 species